rnacentral:rRNA from 1 species
GAUGAACGCUAGCGGCAGGCCUAACACAUGCAAGUCGAGGGGUAGAGGAAGCUUGCUUCCUUGAGACCGGCGCACGGGUGCGUAACGCGUAUGCAAUCUACCUUUUACAGAGGGAUAGCCCAGAGAAAUUUGGAUUAAUACCUCAUAGUAUUUUCGAAUGGCAUCAUUUGAUUAUUAAAGUUCCAACGGUAAAAGAUGAGCAUGCGUCCUAUUAGCUAGAUGGUAAGGUAACGGCUUACCAUGGCAACGAUAGGUAGGGGUCCUGAGAGGGGGUUACCCCACACUGGUACUGAGGCACGACCAAGACUCCUACGGGAGGCAGCAGUGAGGAAUAUUGGACAAUGGGCGCAAGCCUGAUCCGGCCAUGCCGCGUGCAGGAAGACGCAUCUAUGGUGUUUAAACUGCUUUUGUACGGGAAGAAACACUUCCUCGUGAGGGAGCUUGACGGUACCGUAAGAAUAAGGAUCGGCUAACUCCGUGCCAGCAGCCGCCGUAACAC